GCCGGGAUAGCUCAGUUGGUAGAGCAACUGAUUCGUAAUCAGUAGGUCAGAGGUUCGAUUCCUCUUUCCGGCA
rnacentral:tRNA from 1 species